rnacentral:rRNA from 1 species
GACGAACCGAGCGAACGUUGUUCGGAAUCACUGGGCUUAAAGGGUGCGUAGGUGGGUUGGUAAGUCAGUGGUGAAAUACUUUCGCUUAACGAAGGAACUGCCAUUGAUACUACCAGUCUUGAAUACAGUGGAGGUAGGCGGAAUGCGUCAUGUAGCGGUGAAAUGCUUAGAUAUGACGCAGAACACCAAUUGCGAAGGCAGCUUGCUACACUGUUAUUGACACUGAGGCACGAAAGCGUGGGGAUCAAACAGG